AGAGUUAAACAGUACGUGAAAUUGUUGAAAGGGAAACGAUUAAAGUCAGUCGUACUAACGGGGAAUCAACCUUUUGAGGGUGGAAUUGUGGGAUUCGAAGUGUCUUUGUUUUUCACAAUCUGCUCUUUUUGGGUGCACUUUCUCGUAUUGUAGGUCAACGUCGGUUUCGACCGUUAUAAAAUGACUGGAGGAAUGUAGCUUCGAUCUCGUAUUGAAGUGUUAUAGCCUUUGGUAGAUGUAACGGAUGGGAUCGAGGAUUGCAAUGAAUACCCUCAUGGGCUAUUCGUCUGGCCUCUGACAUGUCACUCUGGUGCCGAAAGCUUGCUUAUGGUAUUAUAGUGUACGGUCAAAAGGUUAGAGCGGAAUGAAAGUUAAGGAUGCUAACGUAAUGGCUUUAAACGACC
rnacentral:misc_RNA from 1 species